ACGCCCUUGUGUGGGUUGCUGUUGCACUUGCUGUGCUGGUCAAUGAAGCUUCCGCUCUUGGUGGUGGAGUCGGAGGUGGUAGAGGAUUAGACCGCAAGAAGUGAAUCACUGACCAUCAAGUCAAGAACCAUGGCUCCACUGAGAAAUCGUGCCAUCAACGUUGAUCGCCUUUAAUAAAGUGAUGGAACUUAA
rnacentral:lncRNA from 1 species